rnacentral:rRNA from 1 species
GGCUGAAAUUCGCCUUCAUGAAGCUGGAAUUGCUGUAAUGGCAGGUCAGCAUACUGCCGUGAAUACGUUCCCGGGCCUUGUACACACCGCCCGUCACACCAUGGGAGUCGGUAACACCCGAAGUCAGGAGCCUGACCUUUUUAGGAGGGCACUGCCGAAGGUGGGAUUGAUGACUGGGGUGAAGUCGUAACAAGGUACC